rnacentral:rRNA from 2 species
UACGUAGGGGGCGAGCGUUAUCCGGAUUUACUGGGUGUAAAGGGAGCGUAGACGGCGUAUCAAGUCUGAUGUGAAAGGCAGGGGCUUAACCCCUGGACUGCAUUGGAAACUGGUAUGCUUGAGUGCCGGAGGGGUAAGCGGAAUUCCUAGUGUAGCGGUGAAAUGCGUAGAUAUUAGGAGGAACACCAGUGGCGAAGGCGGCUUACUGGACGGUAACUGACGUUGAGGCUCGAAAGCGUGGGGAGCAAACAGG